CACCCACUGUCAGAGUGGUUGUGCAUGAGUCCAGCCCACGUUUUAGCAAAUAUAUCAUAUAAAUUUACUAAAACCUGGGCUGGACUCAUGCACAACCACUCUGACAGUGGGU
rnacentral:miRNA from 1 species